rnacentral:rRNA from 9 species
GACUCAACACGGGAAACCUCACCAGGCCCGGACACUGGAAGGAUUGACAGAUUGAGAGCUCUUUCUUGAUUCAGUGGGUGGUGGUGCAUGGCCGUUCUUAGUUGGUGAAGCGAUUUGUCUGGUUAAUUCCGAUAACGAACGAGACCCUAGCCUGCUAAAUAGGCGUCGGGAUCUUUCACGCUCCUGGCGUGCUAGUCUUCUUAGAGGGACAGGCUGCUUCUAGCAGCACGAGAUUGGGCAAUAACAGGUCUGAGAUGCCCUUAGAUGUUCUGGGCCGCACGCGCGCUACACUGAAGGAAUCAGCGUGUCUUCCCUGGCCGAAAGGUCCGGGUAACCCGUUGAACCUCCUUCGUGCUAGGGAUUGGGGCUUGCAAUUAUGUCCCAUAAACGAGGAAUUCCUAGUAAGCGCGAGUCAUAAGCUCGCGUUGAUUACGUCCCUGCCCUUUGUACACACCGCCCGUCGCUACUACCGAUUGAAUGAUUUAGUGAGGCCUUCGGACUGGUGCCCGGCGUUGGGGCUUUGCUCUGACGCCG